CGAACUCUGGUAUUGAUUGGUGCUUGCAUCAUGAUUUACAUUUGAGUGAGUGGCGAACUGGUGAGUAACACGUGGGAAACCUGCCCAGAAGCGGGGGAUAACACCUGGAAACAGAUGCUAAUACCGCAUAACAACUUGGACCGCAUGGUCCGAGCUUGAAAGAUGGCUUCGGCUAUCACUUUUGGAUGGUCCCGCGGCGUAUUAGCUAGAUGGUGGGGUAACGGCUCACCAUGGCAAUGAUACGUAGCCGACCUGAGAGGGUAAUCGGCCACAUUGGGACUGAGACACGGCCCAAACUCCUACGGGAGGCAGCAGUAGGGAAUCUUCCACAAUGGACGAAAGUCUGAUGGAGCAACGCCGCGUGAGUGAAGAAGGGUUUCGGCUCGUAAAACUCUGUUGUUAAAGAAGAACAUAUCUGAGAGUAACUGUUCAGGUAUUGACGGUAUUUAACCAGAAAGCCACGGCUAACUACGUGCCAGCAGCCGCGGUAAUACGUAGGUGGCAAGCGUUGUCCGGAUUUAUUGGGCGUAAAGCGAGCGCAGGCGGUUUUUUAAGUCUGAUGUGAAAGCCUUCGGCUCAACCGAAGAAGUGCAUCGGAAACUGGGAAACUUGAGUGCAGAAGAGGACAGUGGAACUCCAUGUGUAGCGGUGAAAUGCGUAGAUAUAUGGAAGAACACCAGUGGCGAAGGCGGCUGUCUGGUCUGUAACUGACGCUGAGGCUCGAAAGUAUGGGUAGCAAACAGGAUUAGAUACCCUGGUAGUCCAUACCGUAAACGAUGAAUGCUAAGUGUUGGAGGGUUUCCGCCCUUCAGUGCUGCAGCUAACGCAUUAAGCAUUCCGCCUGGGGAGUACGGCCGCAAGGCUGAAACUCAAAGGAUUUGACGGGGGCCCGCACAAGCGUGGGAGCAUGUGGUUUAAUUCGAAGCUACGCGAAGAACCUUACCAGGUCUUGACAUACUAUGCAAAUCUAGAGAUUAGACGUUCCCUUCGGGGACAUGGAUACAGGUGGUGCAUGGUGUCGUCAGCUCGUGUCGUGAGA
rnacentral:rRNA from 1 species